rnacentral:lncRNA from 1 species
AGUUUUAAACCUCAUAGGAAUCGAUCCAUCAUUUCAGUCUCCAAAAUAUUGCUAAUUUAGAGAUAUAAGAACUUGAAUCAAGAGACAUAAUCUUGCAUCAACUUAGCUUAUGUAUGAUUUUUCAAUUGAGUAUAUGCUAUCUUCUUUGCAUUGAUGAUCCAUAAUUGAUUCCUAAACUCGGUCUCAAAUUCCUCCAAGCUACAAAAUCCACCUUGAGCU